rnacentral:rRNA from 5 species
GCGACCCCAGGAUGGGCGAGGCCACCCGCUGAG